CACAGGUUAUGAGCCCGGAUUGCUUGUUUUUUUUAUAUAUAUUAAGAACCUUCCACUGCCUAUCUGAGGCAUCUAAUGUCUCACGAGCUGCUGCGCUGAUCAGCAGAGGGGAUCCUGACAAAGGCUAGAAGAGCUUUGAUCGCAGGAAAAAGAUUAAAAAUUGAUUGAUAUAGGGGGGAGAAUGCCUCCUAGAACUCGAGCUACCAUGGGGAUGGAUACCCCAGCUAGGCUAGCAAUGAUGAAUACAAACCUACCCCUGGGCCACCAGGCCCAACAACGACCGAUACCUUGAUACAGAUGAUGAUGGAAUAUUUGAAAAAGCAAGAUGAAUGUCUGAAGAGAAUGAAUGAAUAUUUGGACAGAAGGAUGGGAAAAUCCUUACAAAAAUUAGCUGAAAACUCUGAUUCUCUGUAAAGAAGAGAUCAAGAGGAUAUCAAACAAGGGGAGGAUGAGAUGGAACUGGCUAUACAAGCCACUGUCACUACUCCUCCAUCUACUGAAGAAACCCCUGAAGAACCAACCAUCAAAGAACCCCCUGUGAGAACCACCA
rnacentral:sRNA from 1 species